AAAACGACUCUCGACAACGGAUAUCUCGGCUCUCGCAUCGAUGAAGAACGUAGCGAAAUGCGAUACUUGGUGUGAAUUGCAGAAUCCCGUGAACCAUCGAGUCUUUGAACGCAAGUUGCGCCCGAAGCCGUCAGGCAGAGGGCACGUCUGCCUGGGCGUCACGC
rnacentral:rRNA from 3 species